rnacentral:rRNA from 1 species
UACGAGGGGGGCGAGCGUUGUUCGGAAUUAUUGGGCGUAAAGGGCGCGUAGGCGGUUGGACAAGUCUCAUGUGAAAUCUUCAGGCUCAACUUGAAGUCUGCAUGGGAAACUGUCCGGCUGGAGUGUGGGAGAGGUGCGUGGAAUUUCCGGUGUAGCGGUGAAAUGCGUAGAUAUCGGAAGGAACACCUGUGGCGAAAGCGGCGCACUGGACCAUAACUGACGCUGAGGCGCGAAAGCUAGGGGAGCAAACAGG